GAGUAACGCGUAAGAAUCUACCUUUUAGUGGGGAAUACCUUCGGGAAACUGGAGUUAAUACCGCAUAAUCCUUUCGAGGGAAAGACGGCCUCUUUGCUGUCGCUGAAAGAUGAGCUUGCGUACUAUUAGUUAGUUGGUGGGGUAAAGGCCUACCAAGACAGAGAUGGUUAGCCGGCCUGAGAGGGUGAACGGCCACAUUGGGACUGAGAUACGGCCCAGACUCCUACGGGAGGCAGCAGUGGGGAAUAUUGCACAAUGGGCGCAAGCCUGAUGCAGCGACGUCGCGUGGAGGAUGAAGGAUUUAGGUUCGUAAACUCCUGUUACAUGGGAAGAAAGAAGGUUUGUUAAUAGCAAAUCGUGAUGACGGUACCAUGAGAGAAAGCACCGGCUAACUUCGUGCCAGCAGCCGCGGUAAUACGAGGGGUGCAAGCGUUAUUCGGAAUUACUGGGCGUAAAGGGCGCGUAGGCGGCACUAUAAGUCAUCUGUUAAAGACCAUUACAUAAUGAUGGGGCGGCAGGUGAAACUGUAGAGCUUGAGGAUAGGAGAGAGAAGUGGAAUUCUUGGAGUAGCGGUAAAAUGCGUAGAUCUCAAGAGGAACACCAAUGGCGAAGGCAGCUUCUUGGCCUAUAUCUGACGCUGAGGCGCGAAAGCGUGGGGAGCAAACAGGAUUAGAUACCCUGGUAGUCCACGCUGUAAACGAUGAUCACUGGAUGUUCGAUUCCAUCGGGAGUUGAGUAUCGAAGCUAACGCGUUAAGUGAUCCGCCUGGGGAGUACGGUCGCAAGACUAAAACUCAAAGAAAUUGACGGGGGUCCGCACAAGCGGUGGAACAUGUGGUUUAAUUCGACACUACGCGAGGAACCUUACCCGGGUUUGACAUAUAUUCGCAAGUGGUAGAGAUACCAUGUUCAGAGUUUACUCUGACGAGUAUACAGGUGCUGCAUGGCUGUCGUCAGCUCGUGUCGUGAGAUGUUGGGUUAAGUCCCUUAACGAGCGCAACCCUUGUCGUUAGUUGCUAUCCUUCGGGAGCACUCUAGCGAGACUGCCUUGGAAACAAGGAGGAAGGUGGGGAUGACGUCAAGUCCUCAUGGCCCUUAUGCCCGGGGCUACACACGUGUUACAAUGGAAUGCACAAAGAGCAGCGAAACGGUGACGUUAAGCGAAUCUCUUAAAGCAUUUCUAAGUUCGGAUUGGAGUCUGCAAUUCGACUCCAUGAAGUUGAAAUCGCUAGUAAUCGCGUAUCAGAACGACGCGGUGAAUACGUUCUCGGACCUUGUACACACC
rnacentral:rRNA from 1 species